AAAGGAAGAUGUCGUCCCUCAGGCGAAGUGAAGCCCCCCGAGGAAGGGUGGGGGGUUUAAAUAGGCAACGGAGCCUAGCGCAAUUAUGGUGGCGAGUGUCCCUAGGCCAACCGGUGCUCACCACAUGUCCCGCAUGUCCCAUUCGCCGCUAACUGGGGUUGACUGUUCGCAAACUUUCAUGGCACGAUGCUUGAGAUCACGUCCCGGUGGGAGUUUCGAAAAGACUCUUCGGGUCGCCCUAAUCGAAAAAAGAGCUCCGACAUGCGCACAUUAAAUGCCAACAUAUCUGAGGACGGUUG
rnacentral:lncRNA from 1 species